rnacentral:misc_RNA from 1 species
AAGUCGUAACAAGGUUUCCGUAGGUGAACCUGCGGAAGGAUCAUUGCCACACACGAUCCAAGAUCGACACUUUAUUGUGAACUGUUAAAUGUUUUGAUUGGUUUUUUGUUAUGUUUGGGAGAUGUGUUAAUCGUCACUCAUCAUGAUGAAAAUCAAUUCUAAAUUUUACACCAUACCAAACAUGAAUUAUACAUUGGAACAUAAAUGUUAUACCAAGUUCGUCUUGAUAUAACGCUAGAUUGAUAAUUGUAAAAACAACUUUUAACAACGGAUAUCUAGGUUCUU